GACGAACGCUGGCGGCGUGCUUAACACAUGCAAGUCGAGCGAAGAGGCCCUGCUUGUGUUGGGUGCUCGAGGGGCGAACGGGUGAGUAACGCGUGUGUAACCUGCCCUUGACUGGGGGAUAACUUCAGGAAACGGGGGCUUAUACCGGGUAGGAGCGCCUGCUGCAUGUUUUGGGUUGGAGAGGUUCGGCGUUUGGGGAUGGACGCGCGGCGUAUCAGCUUGGUGGUGGGGUAGUGUCUUACCAAGGCUACGACGGGUAGCGGGUCUGAGAGGGGGAUCAGCCACACUGGGACUGAGCCGCGGCCCAGACUCCUACGGGAGGCAGCAGUGGGGAAUCUUGCGCAAGGCGCGAAAGCGUGACGCAGCAACACCGCGUGAGGGAAGAAGGCCUUAGGGUUGUAAACCUCUUUCAGAUGGGACGAAGGUUCUCCGGUGAAUAGCCGAGAGGAUUGACGGUACCGUCAGAAGAAGCUCCGGCUAACUACGUG
rnacentral:rRNA from 1 species